AUCGAUCGCAUCCGUCUGACCU
rnacentral:miRNA from 1 species